GACGAACGCUGGCGGCGUGCUUAACACAUGCAAGUCGAACGGAAAGGCCCUGCUUUUGUGGGGUGCUCGAGUGGAGAACGGGUGAGUAACACGUGAGUAACCUGCCCUUGACUUUGGGAUAACUUCAGGAAACUGGGGCUAAUACCGGAUAGGAGCUCCUGCUGCAUGGUGGGGGUUGGAAAGUUUCGGCGGUUGGGGAUGGACUCGCGGCUUAUCAGCUUGUUGGUGGGGUAGUGGCUUACCAAGGCUUUGACGGGUAGCCGGCCGGAGAGGGUGACCGGCCACAUUGGGACUGGGAUACGGCCCAGACUCCUACGGGGGGCAGCAGUGGGGAAUAUUGCACAAUGGGCGGAAGCCUGAUGCAGCAACGCCGCGUGCGGGAUGACGGCCUUCGGGUUGUAAACCGCUUUCGCCUGUGACGAAGCGUGAGUGACGGUAAUGGGUAAAGAAGCACCGGCUAACUACGUG
rnacentral:rRNA from 1 species